GGUGAACGCUAGCGGUAGGCCUAACACAUGCAAGUCGAACGGCAGCACAGGAGAGCUUGCUCUCUGGGUGGCGAGUGGCGGACGGGUGAGGAAUACAUCGGAAUCUACUCUGUCGUGGGGGAUAACGUAGGGAAACUUACGCUAAUACCGCAUACGACCUACGGGUGAAAGCAGGGGACCUUCGGGCCUUGCGCGAUUGCAUGAGCCGAUGUCGGAUUAGCUAGUUGGCGGGGUAAAGGCCCACCAAGGCGACGAUGCGUAGCUGGUCGGAGGGGACGAGAAGCCACACUGGAACUGAGACACGGUCCAGAAUCAUACGGGAGGAAGCAGUGGGGAAUAUUGGACAAUGGGCGCAAGCCUGAUCCAGCCAUACCGCGUGGGUGAAGAAGGCCUUCGGGUUGUAAAGCCCUUUUGUUGGGAAAGAAAUCCAGCUGGCUAAUACCCGGUUGGGAUGGCGGUACCCAAAGAAUAAGCACCGGCUAACUUCGUGCCAGCAGCCGCGGUAA
rnacentral:rRNA from 1 species